rnacentral:piRNA from 1 species
AGAAAUGCUACGAGUUUGAUGAGUGU